AUGACAACCCCUGAACAAUCCUGUCAACAAAUAUGUCUUUUUCCUUCUCAAAGACAGACAACCUUCAUCCCAGAUUCCCCUAGCAGCAUAUGGAUCUCUCUUCUUUUGGUUUAUCAAGGACGAUUGGAUAAACUGGCUUGUUUGGACUGGGGUUCUUAUCUCCAUGGAGGCCUCAAUAAUAAUACUUAUGAAAAUAGAUGUAGACUUUUUUGUCCUUUUUAUGCUGCUGUAGUUUUCAGUGAAUAUCAGCAAUAUAAACAAUAUUACCUUUUAUUUGCCUGUUCUAAGGAUCAUUUUAGGCUUGUAUCAGUGGUGGUUCCUUCCACAAUGAUUCAGGUAACUGGGCCUUGUCUAGUAAACAGGGUGGCAUAAUGAGAAUGGCCAGAUGGUCCUGGGGAAGUUAUUGAGGAUGAUGCAUGUCUUUACCCUGAGGCAUAAAAAUGCUCAAUUUGGGAGGGAAUGGAGGAGGGUUCACAAGGGCAAAGCUAACAGAGAUGAAGUUAGUGGGAACCCUGGGGAAAGAAAAAAAGGCUAGGAGGCUUGGGACUUGACCUGGAGGAACCCAUGGAAGAAAAUGUGGACUAUGACAAAAGGAAGAUCAUGAUACCUUUUUGCUUCAUCCCUUCUCCUGUGAACCUUAAAAAUUCUUAAACCCUACUUCAUAAGGUUGGGUUAAGACCAUUCCCCACUUUAAACAAUGAUGGAACUUAGAUCAGGAAUGUGGAGACCUCUACUAAACCCCUACUUAAGCAUACUUUAGGGGAAGAUAAAGUUGUAAACUCUUUGCUGAACAAUGAAAAGUAUUUAAACCCAACUUAUAAUAAGGCAAAAAGUUCUUAAGCUGUGCCUAUUUUUAGAACUAAUACAAAAAGGUGCUAAGUACCUAUAAAGGUCAGGCAACUUGUGAACUUACAAGGAGCAAAGAGGUGAGAACUUACUCAGAGAUUCUAGUCUACUCAGGUGUGAAUUACUCAAAAGUUUAGACUUCUUAGGUGUAAAUUAAGAAUGGUCUGUCCUUUGAAAAAUGUCUACUGUGAUUGGUAGAUGUAAGAAUUUAGGGGAGGUGACAUAAGAGAAAAUUCCCUUUAAAUAGGAGCUCAGAUAGAUCUGAAAGAACACUCUGAUUCACAUUCAGAUUCACAUUCAGAUUCAGGAUUGAGCUGGUGGAGUCAGCUGUGAUGAAGCUGGCCUGGUGUCACUAGAAUCCUUGCUUGGACAGAUCUUGUGGUGAGUGAUUAAGGACUGACUGAUCUUUCUUUUAGGGCUUAGGCCUAAGUUGGUCAGGGCUGCUGCCCUGGGCCAGUCUAUCCUUUUCUCUAUUCUUUUUUUUUCUCUCUUUCUCUCCUUUUCUUUAAUUCCACAUUUUUAUUAAUUAAAAUAUCUAUAAAACCCAGUUGACUUGGGUAUAUUUCAUAAUUGGGAAUCUUUCCCUGGCGACCACCUUAUAUUUGAUUUAAAACAAGACACUGUCUUGAAAACAUAUCUUCCACAGCCACAAUUUAAGACAUCCACUCUUUUAUCUACUACAAUUUAAGUCUUCCACUAUUUUAAUUAUUACACUCCCUCUCUUCAUCCUUUCUAUUUCCCUCUACCCUCCUUAUUGCUUCUUAUUGCUCAUUUUUCUUCUUCCUUCUUUCUGUCUAGAGUUAGAACUAGCACACCAAGUUAUACCAGGACAACUAUAAGGAGAGUGCCCCUCAUUUCCUUCAUCCUCUCCCUGGGUUGGAGGGAACAGUGCUGCUUCCCAUUUCCUGUCCUUUGUCCUUUUUAGUACAAGCUGGUCCACAACCUCACCAUCCCUCCAAACCAUAAUACUUCAUGAUAGUCAGACUCCUCUCCUAGGAAAGUUUCCCAAAGUGAACAGAAGGCUGCACUUUUCUCCCCUUUACUUCAAGCAAACUACUAACCUCAGGAUUCAUGCCCAAAGACAGCCCAUUACUACUUCUUUGCACCCAUGUUUUCUCAUACAAGGGACAUUCUAGAAUGUCAGGAUUCAUGCUAUUGUCUUCAAUCUACCUCAGCAAUAGAGCCUGGAGUGGCUGUGCCCUAAAGCCCACCUUCAAGCAACAUAUGCCUUAUGUCCCCACCCCUUCCACCCCCAGUGACUUAGCCUCAGUUGCUAGAACUCUUUGUUGGGAUUCUAUUUCCUCUCUGCUGCUCCUUUCAGCCUUCCCAGAAAAUAUUCCUCCAGUGGCCUUGUCAGAACCAAGAUGUCUGGACAGAUCUUGGGAUGUAUCCUAAGUAAAUUAGUUCUCAUGUUUUUCCACAGGGAGAGUCUGUUUUUCCUUUAACCAUGGGUACAAUGAGACCAGCAUUGACAUGGAGCACCAAAUAUCCCUGGAGCCUGUUCUGAUGGAACCCUUCCUGCCUGAUCUAUUAGGAUCUACUGAGUCACAGACUUUAUUCUUUUUCACCUUUACUUAAUACUUGCAAUGAAGAGAGAGUGAGCACAAAGGAACUAGGUCUUUCAUUUAAUACCUGAGACUACAGAAUUAACAGAAGGUUCUUCAGGCUAUUACCCUUCUCUUUGUAAAUGAAUAUUACCCUUCUCUUUGUAAAUGAAUAAAAGUGUUGCUGUAUAAGUUCA
ensembl:lncRNA